GUUGAUUUUAAAGGGUAUUUAUAAGUUUAUUUUUCAUAAUGCUCCCUUGUGCAAAAUAUAAUUAUCCCCCUCCUAAGGGGAAGGUUGGCAGUUCGAACCUGCCCUGGGACACCA
rnacentral:tRNA from 1 species